AUUGAACGCUGGCGGCAGGCCUAACACAUGCAAGUCGAACGAGUGGCGGACGGGUGAGUAAUGUCUGGGAAACUGCCUGAUGGAGGGGGAUAACUACUGGAAACGGUAGCUAAUACCGCAUACCAUCAGAUGUGCCCAGAUGGGAUUAGCUUGUUGGUGGGGUAACGGCUCACCAAGGCGACGAUCCCUAGCUGGUCUGAGAGGAUGACCGCCCCAACUGGAACGGAGACACGGUCCAGACCCCUACGGAGGGCAGAGGUGGGGACUAUUGCACAAUGGGCGAAAGCCUGAUGCAGCCAUGCGGCGUGUAUGAAGAGGGCCUUCGGGUUUUAAAGUACUUUCAGCGGGGAGGCGUUACCCGCAGAAGAAGCACCGGCUAACUCCGUGCCAGCAGCCGCGGUAAUAC
rnacentral:rRNA from 1 species